rnacentral:rRNA from 1 species
UACGAAGGGUGCAAGCGUUAAUCGGAAUUACUGGGCGUAAAGCGCGCGUAGGUGGUUCAGUAAGUUGGAAGUGAAAUCCCCGGGCUCAACCUGGGAACUGCUUUCAAAACUGCUGAGCUAGAGUACGGUAGAGGGUGGUGGAAUUUCCUGUGUAGCGGUGAAAUGCGUAGAUAUAGGAAGGAACACCAGUGGCGAAGGUGACCACCUGGACUGAUACUGACACUGAGGUGCGAAAGCGUGGGGAGCAAACAGG